rnacentral:lncRNA from 1 species
GAACUGACGAUCGACGCACAAUGAACGACCUAACCUAACAAGACCUGAAAAUGGUGAUGACUAGAGCACGAACUGAGUUGCGGGGGAAAAACAAAAACCUUCCAUGAAAAGUAUAGGGAAAGUAGAGAAAAUGAAAGGGUUUGGAAAUUUUAGGGAAAAGAAACACAACUUUUAAUUUUGGAAAGAGGGAAAAUAUGAGAGGGAUGAUAAAUUUGGGAAAUUUUGGGUCCAGGAGGGAAGUUAGAAACUGAAAAUCGUAUUUUAAUUUUUAGAAAAUAUAAACCUCCUUGUAAUAACAUUAAAACCCCCACAAUCAUAAGGACUUAGUUAAAUCUUUCUAAUUUUUUUAAAUAAUAUUAAUUUGUGGAGAGGAAAAUGUAGAAUCGUGCCUACCGUUGAGCGCUAGAUCCACUGCUGAGCGUUGGACUUCUCAGUAAAGACACUGCCAAAUGCUUGGGCGUGAACGCUAAGCGUCCCAAUUGAGUAUCAUAACUAUU